rnacentral:rRNA from 1 species
UACGAAGGGUGCAAGCGUUAAUCGGAAUUACUGGGCGUAAAGGGUGCGUAGGCGGUUCGUUAAGUCUGUCGUGAAAUCCCCGGGCUCAACCUGGGAAUGGCGAUGGAUACUGGCGAGCUAGAGUGUGUCAGAGGAUGGUGGAAUUCCCGGUGUAGCGGUGAAAUGCGUAGAGAUCGGGAGGAACAUCCGUGGCGAAGGCGGCCCGCUGGGCAGUGGCUGACGCUGAAGCGCGACAGCGUGGGGAGCAAACAGG